AAAUUUAAAAAUUAAAAAUUAAAAUUAAAUUAAGAUUUUUAAAUUUGAAAUUUAAAAUCUAAAUUUAAAUUUUGAUAUAUGAAAUAUAAAAUAUAAAAUAUAAAAUUUAAAUUUAUAAAUUAAAACUUGAAAUUUAAAUUUUAUAUUGAUAGGGUGAAGUCAAUUUUGGCAUCUUAGGUGAACCGGCAUUUCGAUUGUAUUAAAAUUACGGUAAAUUAAACAGUAAAAGUGAUUAGUGUUCGUCGAAAAUCACU
rnacentral:lncRNA from 1 species